rnacentral:rRNA from 1 species
AGAGUUUGAUCAUGGCUCAGGAUGAACGCUGGCGGUCUGCUUUACACAUGCAAGUCGAACGGACUCUUCGGAGUUAGUGGCGGACGGGUGAGUAACGCGUGAGAAUCUGCCUCUAGAACGGGGGACACAGAGGGAAACUUCUGCUAAUCCCGGAUGAGCCGAAAGGUCGAAGAUUUUUCUUCUAGAGAUGAACUCGCUUCUGAUUAACUAGUUGGUAAGGGAAGAGCUGACCAACGCGAGCAUCAAUAACUGGCCGGAUAGGAUAUUCGGCACCACUGAAACUGAGAACGGCCCAGAUUCUACGGGAGGAACCAGGGGGAUUUUUCGGCAAGGGGGCAGCCUUGCCGAAGCAUGUCCGUGGGGGGGAGGCAACCUUUUGGGUGGUAACCUCCUUUUCUCAGGGAAGACGAAAUUGACGGUACCUGAGGAAUCAGCCUCGGCUAACUCCGUGCCAGCAGCCGCGGUAAUACGGAGGAGGCAAGCGUUAUCCGGAAUCAUUGGGCGUAAAGCGUUUGUAGGUGGCAAUUCAAGUUUGCUGUCAAAUACAGUAGCUCAACUUCUACAAGGCAGUGGAAACUGAAUAGCUAGAGUAUGGUAGGGGCAGAGGGAAUUUCCAGUGGAGCGGUGAAAUGCGUAGAGAUUGGAAAGAACACCGAUGGCGAAGGCACUUUACUGGGCUAUUACUGACACUCAGAGACGAAAGCUAGGGUAGCAAAUGGGAUUAGAUACCCCAGUAGUCCUAGCCGUAAACAAUGGAUACUAGAUGUUGAACAGAUUGACCUGUGCAGUAUUAAAGCUAACGCGUUAAGUAUCCCGCCUGGGAAGUAUGCUCGCAAGAGUGAAACUCAAAGGAAUUGACGGGGGCCCGCACAAGCGGUGGAGCAUGUGGUUUAAUUCGAUGCAACGCGAAGAACCUUACCAGGGUUUGACAUGUCUGGAAUGAUGGGAAUCUCUGUAAGUGCAUUCAGGAACCGUAACACACGUAGUGCAUGGCGGUCGUCAGCUCGUGUCGUGAGAUGUUGUGAUAAGUCGCGCAACGAGCGCAACCAUCGUUUUUAGUCGCUAUCAUUAAGUUGGGCACUCUAGAGAGACUGCCGGUGACAAACCGGAGGAAGGUGGGGAUGACGUCAAGUCAUCAUGCCCCCUACGUCCUGGGCUACACACGUACUACAAUGGUAAGGACAAAGGGCAGCCACUUUGCGAGGAGGAGCUAAUCCCGUAAACCUUGCCUCAGUUCAGAUUGCAGGCUGCAACUCGCCUGCAUGAAGGAGGAAUCGCUAGUAAUCGCAGGUCAGCAUAACACGGUGAAUCCGUUUCCGGGCCUUGUACACACCGCCCGUCACCCCAUGGAAAUUAGCCAUGCCCGAAGUCAUUACUUUAACCUUUCGAGGAGGAGGGUGCCGAAGGCAGAAUUGAUGACUGGGGUGAAGUCGUAACAAGGUAACC